rnacentral:lncRNA from 1 species
CAUUUUGUCUACAAGUUAUUACACCUGAAAACGUGGACCCUCAUUGUGUAACCAUGAGAAAGUGAUUUAAACUCUCAAGGUUAAUUCUCUUAGUGCCCCACCUGGAUCCUCUUUACAGGCAGUGCGCCCACCCCCUGGCUGCUGUUUGUGUUGCCUGAUGACAAUUCACAGCUGCCCCUACUCCUGAAAAUAGUCCUCAGCCAAAUAGAAGUCUCCUUGCCCAGGAGGCAACACCCGCUACUGCCCAGGGCAGAUCUCAGCCAAUGGCAGCAGACUUAAUGGGACAAAAAGCUGGCCCCCUUGCCUGAAGCUGGGCUUAGUUUUACGGUGAAACUCCAGCCUCUCUGUGGAAUCAAACUGAAACUAAUCUUUAGCAGUCUUGUUGCUCAGGAACCAAACUUUAAGACAGCUGGCAUCAGAAAUGGUCUCAGGAAGCUGACUCUGAGGAUGGGAUUCUGGAGUUGGCUUGCUUGCUGGCUGGAUGGCAAUGAAGACCCCAUAGCUGAAGGACUUCCGAGACUGCAUGUUCUGGAGCAGAAGGAAAAAUACUACGGGUUGAGGAAUACAGAGGAGCUGCUGCGCAAGACGGCCACUGGAUGGCGCUGCUGUCCCACUCGCAGAUGACCUAAGCGUCUGAAUCGGGAAAUGGCUUCUAGCUCUUGGAAGCUCAAAGUCCCUGGAAAGCUGGAAGACUCACACAGUACUUUCUUAUUUUAAUUUUUUUUUUAAAAUAAAGCAGUGAUUAAAAGUUGCCACAAAGGCCAAUGUAAACUCUUUUCUCCUCAGAACAAAGGAUGUUUUCACUUUACCCCAAACUGGGGGCUUUCAGCUUAUCAAAAUCAACAGAAACGUUUUGGAAGCAGCUUCCAAGUUCAUCACUCUGGAUUGAGGUUCUGAGGGGUCCAGAAUGUGGAGGUGGAAUCAUUUCUGCAAGUCAUGCCUCACAGGAGCUGGAGGCCAUUCGAGGGUUCGAUGGGUCUCAGCAGGCUCUCUAUCACACCCGAGCACACUUCACAAAGACAGCAUAUUCCUCCUACAAGACUUUGUGGAGGACCUUUUGGAGGGCAAAUAUCUAUCUUAAUAGUUGUAAAGAAAAAAAAUCCUGAAUUUCUAACAUUAGGUGGUAAAAUUUUGUCUUUUUCUGAUUUCCACUGGCAGAACAAACCAAGCAUCUUCCUUCUCUGGAAAUUGUGAGUAAGGGCUGUGGGAGGGAACACACAUCUAUCUGAUGGCCUUAUAGGAUAGUCCCACGUACAAAAAAACCAUUUUGCAAUUUCACAAUUCUAAAUGUAUUCUCAUCUGUUGCAGUGGGUAUGCUUAGAGGCCAGAUGAUAGCCAAAUAGGUAUCUAAGCAACUGUUCUAUAACAGACUAAAAUUGGGGAGCUACAAGUGGGAUCGUAAGAAACAUAGAAACAUUAUGCCAGAAAAAUCACAAGGACAAGAGCACUGCCAGUGGCUCCAGGCAAGGGACUGCAGUUGAGCAUCAGAGCUGCACUGCAGACAAGACCCCUCAAGGCUGCCAUUGUGGAGUGAUUGUCCAGGCAAACGCAGUUAAACUCUCGAGGAGAGUCGUUAUUUCACCUCCCCUACCUUUCCUCAUCUUAAGUCUGUGGUUCUGUCUUCUCCUUUAUGUAACAUUUUGAAAAACUCUAUCCCUGAAGCCCCAUCCCAGAGAUUCUCUUUUUCAACAAAACCGUUGUUGAUGUUUAAUUGACUUACUAUGAGCUAAACCUACUUAAAAUGCUCAAUUAGGUAAGUUUUGGCAUACAUAUAUACCCAUAAAACCAUCACCACAGUCAAGAAAAUGAACACAUUCAUCAUUCUAAAGAAUUUCCUCCUGCCCCUUUGUAAUACUUCCCUUACGCUACUCCAGCCUCCAUACCCAGACAACCACAGAUAGGAUUUCUGUCACAAUAUAUUUAUUAUCGUUUCCUAAAGUUCUGUGUAAAUGAAAUCAGUGUGUACUCUUUUUUUGUCUUCUAUCACUCAGCAUAAUUUUUUUGAGACUCAACCAUGUUGUUUGAUCAAUAGUUCGUUACUUUUGAGUAAUAUUUCAUUGUACGAAUAUAUGGCAGUUUAUUUAACCAUUCAUCUGUUGAUGGACAUUUGGGUUGUUUCAAGUUUGGGACUACUACAAAUUAAACUGCUAUGAAAAUUCA